ensembl:misc_RNA Metazoa_SRP Metazoan signal recognition particle RNA
GCUGGGCGUGGUGGCUCACGCCUGUAAUCCCAGCACUUUGGGAGGCCGAGGCAGGUGGAUUGCUUGAGCCCAGGAAUUCGGGACCAGCCUGGGUAACAUGGCAAAACCCUGUCUCUACUAAAAAUACCAAAAAUUAGCUGGGCGUAGUGGUGAAUGUCUGUAAUCCCAGCUACUUGGGAGGCUGAGGUGGGAGAAUCACUUGAACCUGGGAGGUGGAUGUUGCAUUGAGCUGAGAUAGUGCCACUGCACUCCAGCCUGGGCGACAGAGUGAGACCCUGUCUCA